rnacentral:rRNA from 1 species
GUGGGGAAUAUUGCACAAUGGGCGCAAGCCUGAUGCAGCGACGCCGCGUGAAGGAUGAAGGUCUUCGGAUUGUAAACUUCUAUCAGCAGGGAAGAAAGUAAGCCUUUGGGCUUACCUGACGGUACCUGACUAAGAAGCACCGGCUAACUACGUGCCAGCAGCCGCGGUAAUACGUAGGGUGCAAGCGUUAUCCGGAAUUACUGGGUGUAAAGGGUGCGUAGGCGGCUAUGCAAGUCGGAUGUGAAAACUCAGGGCUCAACCUUGAGAUUGCAUCUGAAACUAUGUAGCUAGAGUGUGGGAGAGGAAAGUGGAAUUCCGAGUGUAGCGGUGAAAUGCGUAGAGAUUCGGAGGAACACCAGUAGCGAAGGCGGCUUUCUGGACCAUUACUGACGCUGAGGCACGAAAGCGUGGGGAGCAAACAGGAUUAGAAACCCUAGUAGUCC